GCCAGGCAUGGUGGCAUGUGCCUGUAGUCCCAGCUACUCGGGAGGCUGAGGCAGGAGAAUCACUUGAACCCAGGAGGCAGAGGCUGCAGUGAGCCAAGAUGGUGCCACUGCACUCCAGCCUGGGUGACAGAGUGAGACUCUGUCUCAA
rnacentral:SRP_RNA from 1 species